AACGAACGCUGGCGGCAGGCCUAAUACAUGCAAGUCGAACGGAUGUAGCAAUACAUUAGUGGCGCACGGGUGCCUAACGCGUGGGAACAUACCCUUGAGUAAGGAAUAAUGUCUGGGAACGGACACUAAUACCUUAUAAUGACUUCGGUCCAAAGAUUCAUCGCUCAAGGAUUGGCCCGCGUCUGAUUAGCUAGUUGGUGAGGUAACGGCUCACCAAGGCGACGAUCAGUAGCUGGUCUGAGAGGAUGAUCAGCCACACUGGGACUGAGACACGGCCCAGACUCCUACGGGAGGCAGCAGUAAGGAAUAUUGGACAAUGGGGGAAACCUUGAUCCAGCCAUGCCGCGUGAGUGAAGAAGGCCUUAGGGUUGUAAAGCUCUUUCAAUAGUGAAGAUAAUGACGGUAGCUAUAGAAGAAGCCCCGGCUAAAUUCGUGCCAGCCGCCGCCGUAA
rnacentral:rRNA from 1 species